GUUUGAGCUAGUCCUGCCCUAUGCUCCGGGAGUACAUCUAUGA
rnacentral:rRNA from 1 species